rnacentral:rRNA from 1 species
CCCAUCCUUCGCCGUGCACUCACCGUGGAACUGAGAAUAAUACCCGAUAGAACAUUAUGCCUGGAAUGGUUUAUGUUUCAAAUGAUUUAUCGCCAUAGGAUGGGACUGCGGCCUAUCAGUUUGUUGGUGAGGUAAUGGCCCACCAAGACUAUUACAGGUACGGGCUCUGAGAGGAGUAGCCCGGAGAUGGGUACUGAGACACGGACCCAGGCCCUAUGAGGCGCAGCAGGCGAGAAAACUUUGCAAUGUGCGAAAGCACGACAAGGUUAAUCCGAGUGGUUUCUGCUAAAGAAACCUUUUGUCAGUCCUAGAAACACUAACGAAUAAGGGGUGGGCAAGUUCUGGUGUCAGCCGCCGCGGUAAAACCAGCACCUCAAGUGGUCAGGAUGAUUAUUGGGCCUAAAGCAUCCGUAGCUCGUUUUGUAAGUUUUCGGUUAAAUCCAUGCACUUAACGUAUGGGCUGCCGGGAAUACUGCAUAACUAGGAAGUGGGAGAGGUAGACGGUACUCGGUAGGAAGGGGUAAAAUCCUUUGAUCUAUUGAUGACCACCUGUGGCGAAGGCGGACUACCAGAACACGUUCGACGGUGAGGGAUGAAAGCUGGGGGAGCAAACCGGAUUAGAUACCCGGGUAGUCCCAGCUGUAAACUAUGCAAACUCAGUGAUGCAUUGGCUUGUGGCCAAUGCAGUGCUGCAGGGAAGCCGUUAAGUUUGCCGCCUGGGAAGUACGUACGCAAGUAUGAAACUUAAAGGAAUUGGCGGGGGAGCAC